rnacentral:tRNA from 1 species
GCAGGUAUAGUAUAAAGGUAAGUAUGUGACACUUCCAAUGUCAAUGUGACAGUUCAAGUCUGUCUAUCUGCA